GUAACCCGCAAAGGGGAGUAACUUCGUUGUCGGUUGAUCGUCAUUACGAUGUGUGAAAAACCACAUCCGGUCACCGGGCGAUAACAAAGGAAUACGCCAUCGUAUUCCUUUGUUGUUGUAAGUGAGACCUUGCCGAAUGG
rnacentral:misc_RNA from 1 species